AUUGAACGCUGGCGGCAGGCCUAACACAUGCAAGUCGAGCGGAGCGGCGGACGGGUGAGUAAUGCCUAGGAAUAUCCCUGGUAGUGGGGGAUGACGUCCGGAAACGGGCCCUAAUACCGCAUAAUAUUAGAUGAGCCUAGGGCGGAUGAGCUCGUUGGUGGGGUAAAGGCCUACAAAGGCGACGAUCCGUAACUGGUCUGAGAGGGUGAUCAGUCACACUGGAACUGAGACACGGUCCAGACUCCUACGUGAGGCAGCAGUGGGGAAUAUUGGGCAAUGGGCGAAAGCCUGAUACAGCAAUGCCGCGUGUGUGAAGAAGGUCUUCGGAUGGUAAAGCACUUUUAGUUGGGAGGCGUUACCAACAUAAUAAGCACCGGCUAACUUCGUGCCAGCAGCCGCGGUAAUUC
rnacentral:rRNA from 1 species